GAAACGACAUCGAAAGCUUGCUUUUGAUGGGCGUCGACCGGCGCACGGGCGAGUAACGCGUAUCCAACCUGCCCACCACUUGGGGAUAACCUUGCGAAAGUAAGACUAAUACCCAAUGACGUCUCUAGAGGACAUCUGAAAGAGAUUAAAGAUUUAUCGGUGAUGGAUGGGGAUGCGUCUGAUUAGCUUGUUGGCGGGGUAACGGCCCACCAAGGCUACUAUCAGUAGGGGUUCUGAGAGGAAGGUCCCCCACAUUGGAACUGAUACACGGUCCAAACUCCUACGGGAGGCAGCAGUGAGGAAUAUUGGUCAAUGGACGAGAGUCUGAACCAGCCAAGUAGCGUGCAGGAUGACGGCCCUAUGGGUUGUAAACUGCUUUUAUAAGGGAAUAAAGUGAGUCUCGUGAGACUUUUUGCAUGUACCUUAUGAAUAAGGACCGGCUAAUUCCGUGCCAGCAGCCGCGGUAAUACGGAAGGUCCGGGCGUUAUCCGGAUUUAUUGGGUUUAAAGGGAGCGUAGGCCGGAGAUUAAGCGUGUUGUGAAAUGUAGAUGCUCAACAUCUGCACUGCAGCGCGAACUGGUUUCCUUGAGUACGCACAAAGUGGGCGGAAUUCGUGGUGUAGCGGUGAAAUGCUUAGAUAUCACGAAGAACUCCGAUUGCGAAGGCAGCUCACUGGAGCGCAACUGACGCUGAAGCUCGAAAGUGCGGGUAUCGAACAGGAUUAGAUACCCUGGUAGUCCGCACGGUAAACGAUGGAUGCCCGCUGUUGGUCUGAAUAGGUCAGCGGCC
rnacentral:rRNA from 1 species